AUGGAUCAGAGAUUCUCACUGUGCUUAUGAGCAUGAAAUAAAAUGAGGCACUUUUAUGAUCGGGUCAAAUCCUGUCUAGCACAAAUCUUUCUUCGUGUUAGCGGGAAGGUUUCCAUAAAUUACCGGCGGCCUGAAGGAGGAAACGCGUUGGAGUACAAAAGAGCCUGUCUCCACAGCAACGUGCCUUGAUUUGCCAGAAUGUGCCAGUGUGAAGCUUGGCAAAUGAGCUAAAUGAUAUUUGUUUGAGGCUUUUACAGGAUAAAGGUAUCAUUAGUGAGCCAGAUGCAGACAGUGGCAAUGACCUCACAUCUCUUCAGUUAUCUUCUAUUUACUAUGCUAAUGCAGACAGCAUUGGUGCAAAAAAUGAUUUUUAUACGUUUUAUUUUUUCAUGUCCUCAUAGAGACUAAUCCUCUUUUCAUCAGAAAAAUGUGUUACCUUAACUGUUAUUUUAGGUCUCUUUGUAGAGGAUUCGGCAAGCUCUAUGUUAAUAUCAAAAAACUAUGCAGAAAAAUAUUUGCUGAUGACCUUUUUUCCUAGAAAAUAACAAGACUAAAACUAAAUUAAAAAAAACAGUAAUAACAAAAACUAUGGACAAAAUAUAAUGCAGUGUAAUUACUCAACAACCUGCAUGCAUCUGGAAAAUCACACAGUAUCCACCGCUAGCUAAAUCUCUUCUUCUUGACCUGUAGCACUAAUAAGCAGCAUCUUGCAUUCAGUAAUGUUAGCUAACGUUACGUUAAUGUUAGCUAGUGUUUGCUCACAUUAGUAAAGAUUUAUGGAUUAAAUGCAUCCACAUUCUUACUAAAAAUUAGACAAGAGGCAGCAACAAAGCAUUUAUAAAAAGUUUAAGCUAACGUAACAUACCAUCAACAGCCUUUAAUCAUAUCAGCAUGUAACCAGGCCAAAGUGACAUAUGCAGAUUUUUUUCCUCAAAGGAGAACACAGGAAAAGUGAUCCCCUUGAUGUUCAUUUAAGGAACAGUUAUGUUAUCCAACAUUUCAGCUGCUCAUUUCAAGCUAAACCCAGACAGUGAACAGUGUUUUAGUGAGCAGCUGAGGGAAUCCAGCUCCUGAAUUAUCAGCUGCUCUGCUGUGUAGCCGACAGCACAGGUACCUGCAAUACUGCCAAGUGUGGAGGAACGACAGUGAGUGACAACUGGAUUUACUGAAGAGAGUGAUUCGGGCUAUAUCCCUUAUUACUGCAGGGCAGAGUGACAUUGACACACUGGGUGUGAACCUUUACAGUCUGGUAUAAACAGGUCAGCAGCAGUGCAGCAAGUUUGUGGAUACAGAACGUCCCCGUAUCAUUUCAAUCUGGCGGGACCCUCCCUUUAACGCAGUGUGGGAGCGACAGCAGGCUAUUCAGAUAGCACUGUCUCAAUCAGACUGACCUUGACUGUGCAUGUUGUGAAGGUAAAGCAUAAUGCCAUGCAUCGCAAGUCAGUCCUUGAAAUGUAGCAGUGCAGAUGUACAGUAUGGAUGCUGGAAGCUACACAACAAUGAUGCUGGAGCUUAAGAGUGAACAAACAGACAAUGUGAGCGCAAUGUGCAGGACAGCACAGAGAAAUAAACACUUGGACAAUGGGUGGAGGAAAGAGCAAUGGCAACAACAACUUAUGCUAAAGACAAAGAAAGAUAUUUUUGUGUUUCCAAAUGUUACCAUAUAAUAAAGCAUUUCAGCACAAAGUGACUUCCUCAUUAACAAUAUUAAA